GGUGAACGCUGGCGGCGUGCUUAACACAUGCAAGUCGAACGGUGAAGCAGGAGCUUGCUCUUGUGGAUCAGUGGCGAACGGGUGAGUAACACGUGAGCAACCUGCCCCUGACUCUGGGAUAAGCGCUGGAAACGGCGUCUAAUACUGGAUAUGUGAUGUGACCGCAUGGUCUGCAACUGGAAAGAAUUUAGGUUGGGGAUGGGCUCGCGGCCUAUCAGCUUGUUGGUGAGGUAAUGGCUCACCAAGGCGUCGACGGGUAGCCGGCCUGAGAGGGUGACCGGCCACACUGGGACUGAGACACGGCCCAGACUCCUACGGGAGGCAGCAGUGGGGAAUAUUGCACAAUGGGCGGAAGCCUGAUGCAGCAACGCCGCGUGAGGGAUGACGGCCUUCGGGUUGUAAACCUCUUUUAGCAGGGAAGAAGCGAAAGUGACGGUACCUGCGGAAAAAGCACCGGCUAACUACGUGCCAGCCGCCGCCGUAA
rnacentral:rRNA from 1 species